CUAUGUUUGCUCUGUGCUCUGUUUGAUUGAGUCUGGACUUUAUGGGUCUGAGCUUCUUCCAGAGCUUUGAGGCCUUGUUUGUUUUGCUUUCUAAAGCCUGGGAAUGUGGUAGUAUGUGGCUUGCCCAUUGCCUUGAAGAGUGACUGAGAUGCCUUACGAUGGAUCUGAAAAUCUGCUCCAAGAGUGUUGGAGAUGUCUGGAAUAAAAUGGUCAAGAGGGCUGCAGAACAAGAAGGAAUCAAUGAGAAUUCAGCAGGAUUUUGUACAAGUUGUGGUCUUCCAGGUACAAAAAACAAAGGGAUAAAACAGGGAAACAGAACAAAGCAGUGGUACUACAUGGAUAUACUGUGGUGCACCCAUAAGUAGCUGCAUGGAACUACUCUUCGCACACAAUGAGCCACAAGAUCUACAAGGAACAAAAGCAGUUUGGAGAUCAUCAAAUCCUAUCUAUUGCUUAAGGCGAAAAAAUCAGCAGCAUGUGUACAUUUAUCUGGUCUUAUUCACAUAAAGACACCUAAAAUCUGAGCAGUUGCUGUGAAGAGAUCUUGUGCAGCUAAUCAAGCUAUCUUUCUUCUUUGAGAAACUAUAGACAGAACGUGAUGUUCUGUCGAGUGCUAAAGGCCAAAGUGUGGGAAAAAAGGUGAAGCUAGAGAUGCCGUGAAAGCAAAAAAAAAAAAAAAAAAUGAACCGUCCAUAAGCUCAAUAGAGAUUUAUACUGUACUUUUCAUAGUAUUAUGGAAAAGCUAAAAGUUGUAAUUUGAUGUUAAUGCCUUAUUUUACUGUAACACAGAGAGAGUUGGAAGUCAAUGCUUCUUUUUCUUUUUUCCCUAUCUUUCCUCACUUCUCUUCCCUCUUCCCCCCCUCUAUUUACUUUUUUGUAUUUUAUAAUACUUUAUAACUCAAUAAAAAUGUUAAACUUGA